rnacentral:rRNA from 1 species
ACUCCUACGGGAGGCAGCAGUGGGGAAUAUUGCACAAUGGGCGCAAGCCUGAUGCAGCCAUGCCGCGUGUAUGAAGAAGGCCUUCGGGUUGUAAAGUACUUUCAGCAGUGAGGAAGGUGGGUAUGUUAAUAGCAUACUCAUUUGACGUUAGCUGCAGAAGAAGCACCGGCUAACUCCGUGCCAGCAGCCGCGGUAAUACGGAGGGUGCGAGCGUUAAUCGGAAUUACUGGGCGUAAAGCGCAUGCAGGUGGUUUGUUAAGUCAGAUGUGAAAGCCCGGGGCUCAACCUCGGAAUUGCAUUUGGAACUGGCAAACUAGAGUACUGUAGAGGGGGGUAGAAUUUCAGGUGUAGCGGUGAAAUGCGUAGAGAUCUGAAGGAAUACCGGUGGCGAAAGGCGGCCCCCUGGACAGAUACUGACACUCAGAUGCGAUAGCUGGGGAGCAAACAGGAUUAGAUACCCUGGUAAGGCUCUGC